rnacentral:snRNA from 1 species
UGGAAACCGAUUUAUUACCAGU